rnacentral:rRNA from 1 species
GCCCAGACUCCUACGGGAGGCAGCAGUGGGGAAUAUUGGACAAUGGGAGGAACCCUGAUCCAGCGACGCCGCGUGAGUGAAGAAGUAUUUCGGUAUGUAAAGCUCUAUCAGCAGGGAAGAAAGAAAUGACGGUACCUGACUAAGAAGCCCCGGCUAACUACGUGCCAGCAGCCGCGGUAAUACGUAGGGGGCAAGCGUUAUCCGGAUUUACUGGGUGUAAAGGGAGCGUAGACGGCGAUGCAAGUCUGAAGUGAAAGGCGGGGGCCCAACCCCCGGACUGCUUUGGAAACUGCAUAGCUGGAGUGCAGGAGAGGUAAGUGGAAUUCCUAGUGUAGCGGUGAAAUGCGUAGAUAUUAGGAGGAACACCAGUGGCGAAGGCGGCUUACUGGACUGUAACUGACGUUGAGGCUCGAAAGCGUGGGGAGCAAACAGGAUUAGAUACCCCAGUA